ensembl:processed_transcript 1700101I11Rik RIKEN cDNA 1700101I11 gene
AGAGAAGGACCUGGAGAUCUCGCGGCCUGAAGGUAAAGGACCACCAGUUUCUUGUUUGAUGCCCAAAACAAACACAGAGGAAGAAAAUCCAGCUGUUUCCAGAGCAAUGGAAUCAGGAGUCUGGAGUUGGAAAAGUGCCAGGCGUCACGAGAUUUGUAGCCCGGGCUGAAAUGUCCUGUGCUUGCAUUUUGACCUUUGCCUGGCACCCACGACUGGCCUGCCUUCUCUGCCCCAACUCCUCCUUCUGACUGGUGUCCUUAUGUUUGGAUCUGUGCUAGAAUUGGUUCUGAGACAACAUAAACAGAGCAUGACUCAUGGAAUUGAAGAAGUGUAAGGGUGAAGAACAUGAAGUCAUCAAGGUUAGAAGAAGCGAUGCCAGCGAUGAACACCAGGCUUCACUCACGUUCAAGGAGAGAUGAUUCCAUUCAUUUUAUAAGGUUCACCCAGAAGCGUGGUUGUUGAGUUCUUGAAAAUACAGAGGUCAAAUCGUUUAGGUGUCUAUGUUUCCCCAACAAUACUUUGCUCUGGGGUGGGUAUCACCUGUAGGGUAGUUGUCCUGAUGAAAAGGCCUUAUUGGGCACCAAAAGCUCUGACUGGCAUGCUGGUGGAAGACCCUCAAUAGUAUAGAGAGAGUCAGCCCAUGCCCCUCUGACAUACCGGGUUUCCAUCUUAAGACUCUUUGGAUGCGGGGUCAGCCUUCUGAUUCUACUGGCAGUAACUCCAGACCUAUAUCUUGGGAACAUCGGAGAUAAAGUUCAAGGAUGCUUUGUGCUGUGAAAAUAAAAUGACUACUAAGUGGUACCAGGCAAGCAGUCCUGUUGCCUGAUUUUAUGUACAUGACUUAGUGAUAUGGUUAUAAAAUAUGGGCAAAAUAAAGUGAACUGAAUUUAACUGGC